rnacentral:rRNA from 1 species
UCGGAUAUGUUAGAUUUCAGACAAGAAUCCCCGUCCGCUCUCCCAUAGUCAAGCCACUAACCGGCGGAUUAGUAGUUGGGUCGGUGACGACCAGCGAAUCCCCGCUGUUGUAUGUA